GAGGCAAAUGGCUCCUGAGUGGAACGGGGCGGGUCCCCAGGGAAGUCCCACCUUUAGGCUGGGGAGUGCCUGAAGCCUGGAGGCCUGGCUGCUGGUCCCGCGGGAACUUGUGGUGCUUUCCCCAGGCACGCCCAUGGCCUCCCAUGGACCAAUCAGCACACACUUCCUCCCCUCUGAGGCCCAUGAAAAGCCCCAGACGCAGUCAGACCAGAAGAGACGUUGGGCCAACCAGCUGCGGAGGGAAGGUAUCUACCCCAGGGUCUUCUCUCUGUUGAGUGCUGAAGAGAUGACGGGAUGACCUGCCUGCAGAGAGGAGCUACCGUCUCUGCUGAGAGCUGAAUACUUGUCUGGACACCCUGGCUACAGAGAAGAACUACCCACUGCAGGUCUCCUCUGAGCUGCUCUAUCAUUCAAUAAAGCUCCUCUUCGUCUUGCUCAUCCUCACUUGUCUUUCUGAGGAGAAUACCUCAUUCUUCCUGGAUGCAGGACAAGAACUUGGGACCCGCCGAAAGGCAGGGAUGCAAGAGCUGUAACACAAACAAGGCUGAAAUACACCCCUUGUUCACCACAUUGAGGGUGACAAGGAGAGAAGAGAGAACGAGAGAAGAGCUGCGGCUUUUCGAGGAGCCCAGACCCAGGAGCUUCUUGAGCCAGGGAUGUGACACUCUCUUUAAGGCUCUGCGGUUCCUGGAGUCUUCAAGCUUCUGGGUGCCACCAUGUUCCCUGGUGUCAGCUGGGAACUGCUUGUGGUACGCCUGGUCCGGCCGCAGCUUCGCAGGGAGCUGGCGCUUGUGCCAGUGCCUGGAGCUGCCCGCCCUGCUGCAGCCGGUAUGCCUGGCUGUGCACAGUGGCCCAGACCCCAAGCAUGCUCACACACCCCUCGCCACUUUGCGUUCGGCUCACCUUUGGCAGGCAUGGGAUCCAGGCCAGUAGCGUGAGCUGAGUGCGCCUGCCAGGCUGAGUGGGCGGAACAAGCCCAGCAGGUCAGAGCAAAACUAGGGCAAAGGCACCACUGGCCACAGAGGUUACCAGCUGGCAAAGCGACACGUUGCUGUGUGAUCUUGGACGAGUUACUGAACCUUGCUGUGUUUCUUCAUCAAUGAAGUGGAAUCAUCAUGGACUCCAUCUCAUCAGAUUGUUUUGAAGAGUUUCCCAAAUUGCUUCACUCCACAAACGUUUUCCAAGCCAUUUGUGAAUGGCCUUAAUUAAGAAGACUGGAAAUGUGUCUCCUGUCUCCUUCACAGGCCCCACCCCAAUGCCGUUCUGGGGUCCGAACCUUAGGGGCUAUUGAAAUGCCUGUCCCCAAUAUCAUAAGACUGUGCUGGUCAUCGACGUUGGGUGUCUUUUCCAACUGGCUGCUGCAUCUGCCCGAUUCACCACUAUCCACACCACUCUGGCUGAUAAAUAUUGUGAGUGUCAACCCUGGUUACACUUAGUGAGGCUAAAAUCCUUGCGUGGCCACCUAGUAGCUGUUUGACUGUGUGUUUAUUAAGUAACCUCCCUGAGCUUUAGUUUACCUCUCAGUAAAAUAGGAAAAUAAUAGUAAAAUAAUGGUGCUGUUGGGAAGAUGGAAUUAGAGAUUGUGUAUAGAAUAUUUAUCAUCUUCCCUGGCCAAUAGUAGGUGCUUGUUAAAUGUCAGUCCUCAUCUUCCAUUUUCUUUGUUCUCCUGACCUUGUCAGGAAUCUCUGCUUUCUUGACUCAAGAAUCACAGAAUGAUGAGACCUUAGAGACUGAAGGAAAUGCUGGGACCAUCAGAUCCAACAAUCCCUUAGGUUCAGGGAUCUAUCUUAUUGGCAAAACUUUGACUAUAAUCUAGACAACUAUCCUGGGCUACCUCUUCUGUUUGUAUGUGUUAUAAUUCAAGAUGCAUACUUGCUUUGUGUAUACUUUGUCCUGUAUUUGUUUGGAUAUUUAAUGCAUCAUUAACCUGGUUGGUCAGCUUCCAAAUUUCUGCCACUAUUAGAUAAGGAAAAAUGGAAUGAGAGAUAGUGGAAGGAUCAAAGUAAAUUCAUCCUGGUUCCUGGGGAGAACCUUCAAAAUUUAUGUCCUACAGAGAGAAGAUCAGUAGCAUUGUUUCAAAUGACAGUACAGUUUAAAAAAAUUCUUUUCAUUAUACAUCAUUCCAAGAAGGACCUUUUUGUUCUACAGCUAAUUUUUAUGAUGGGGAAAGUGUUUCUUUUUUGAGUUUCAGUGGCUAGAUGACAUGGCAACUGCUUGGCAACACAUAUUGCAAAGCUUGAAUUAUUCUUUUCCCAUUCUUAUUUAGUACAUUAUAGAACAAAGCUAAAUAAAUGAAUCCAGUGACCUUAAAUCUACGUACAAAACCUUUAUAGUUUGAUAAAGCCUAAUUUUAGUAUUUGUCUUAUAAUAAGCUGUGUAAAAAUUUUAUCAUGAAAUCCAAAGCCAUCAAAAAUAGACUGUAGAUUCAUGCCAGGAUUAGAUUUGUUUAUGUAAAUCCAAAAUAUUUAGUGUCAAGUGGUACUAAAUACGCAGGUUCAUUGAGAAAAGUGUGACAAAUACUUGGAUUUUAGUAAUUUCAUUUGUAUGUAUGUGUAUAUGUGUUUUAGUUUUAAAAUAUGAUUCUGCCCAAUUUAAGUUAAAAUGUAUGCUAGACUUUGCUAUUUCUGUGCACAUGUCCCUCUACUGCUACAGCUGUCUCCCUACCUCUUCCACAAAGUCACUCUUUCACAUCUAUCUGGAGACCAUCUUGUUCUCUAAAAUCCCCUGCAAGAACUGGACCAUUGCAUCCCCACCUGUCAUAUGCACGACAUUUACUUUCUGGGCUGUUCAUGACAUAUUGCAAUAGGUGGUGGUUUCUAUUUCUUAUUGAUCUCUGGUUAUUCAACUUAGGAAAUAUUUUUCUCAUUUCCUUCAACAAAACAGAACUAUAAACUUUCUGGGGAAAGGAGCUAUAUGGUCUAUUCCUGCACUACCCAGCAUGGGUGUGCCCCAUACUUGUUGAUUGCAGCAAUCUUGUCCACAUCCCCAGUAGGAACCAAAUAACCAUGGAGGUAUUUAGAGAAUCAUCUGCCUAUUACUUUAGGAUUUGUGUUUAGCUGCUUUAUUGGGGUGGAGGGGAUUUAUUCCUUUUUACCUAUCUCUUUAUCUUGCUUUAUCAAAUCCAGAUCCUCAUGGUUCGUUUGCCUUGCUGUGUCUCCCAUGUCCAUCUCAGGUCUCCUGUAAGAGGAUAGGUUGGACCACCAAAGCCAGAGGUAGCAGCAGCAUUGUCAGAAAUACACAGGAAGUCUGUUCCUUGUCCUAAUCCAGAUACGCAUCAGCAAACACGGACUUAGCAGGAAGUCAAGCUUUCAAGUAAAGCCAGUGAAGCACUGAGGGGAAGCAUCAGAAAUACACCCCAAAUUGACUUGGCGUCUGUCGCCUGGGACUGCCUGGGCUGUGAAUGGAAAACUCUUGUAGAUUAAAGGAGGGGAGCACAGGCAGUGGGUGUAUUUCAUACUUACUAUCCUUUUCAGAAUCCCUGCGAAAUGGUUGACCUUAGAGGGGACUCUCGAUGAUUACACCUAAGUCUUUUCAACCUGUUGUUCCUAUUUACACUUGUGCUUUAUGGAUUCCUUCAGGGAGAAGCGUUUUAAAGGAAUACAGAAAGCUUUCCACCCCAGAGACACUCAAAGGUGGCAGCUUAGGCAGAUAGCUUUCAUUUCUCUGUUUGUGAUUUUCCUUCCAGGAUAAAAUAUUUCUUCUUCCCCUAAGCGUCUGGAUUUUGUGAUCUGGGACAUGCUCGGAUUUAACAGUUUGAACUUUUAAAAAUAAUAAUUAUUUGAGGAUAUUCUGCUCUUUUAUCUGUGGGAAGACUGGGGAAUCUGGAGUUACUUCUGUAGCUUUUUAAAAGCUUAGCUUUCUCGAAGUGCUGUUUUUUUAAACUAUCAUAAGUCAAAUUUAUCAUGGGGAUAAAGUAAUAAAGACAAAUAUUCAACCAAUAAUGAAAAGCUAAAUAAACGGGUAUGUUUAAGCUCUAUUAUAUGCAGGGGAGUACAUUAAGGCAGAUCUAAGAGACACUUUAAUGGAUUUAACAUUAGCAAUCAGACCUGGACUUGGUAUAAAUCAAACACCAUCGCAUUUCAGUCUAAUGCACACCCACUCAUUCAUUAGCACCAUUCAACGCAGAUUAUAAAUAUUAGCCAAGAAACCUUCAGUUCUGGAGAUUCUUUCCACAGACACAGCAAUAAUAGAACAAUAAUGAUGACAAUUUUAUUUUUAUGAAUCGCUAUGGCUUACUUUUAUUGAUUUGCUCUUGGGCCUGGAGAAAGCUUCCUCAGCCAGUAUACAACAGGAAGUGGUUCUAGCAUUAUCAGAUAGGCCAUAAAGAGAUAAAUAAAAUAAAGGGGGGUAGGAAUGAUGGUGGGACUCGGCAAGCUGCUGAUAUAAGCAAGAAUUACUCCCCUCACUCCCAACAAUAGAACAACUUAAAUUACCUCCCUUCUCCCUCCCUGCUCCUCUCUUCCAAUUCAGUGAAAGGAAAAUACUCCCAGGCUGUAAAUGUGCAUUAACUUCGGAGCUGAACAUUUUGGGGUUCUUGGUAGCAGCUAGAGGGAAAUGAAUAAGAUGGGAAUAAAUGAGCUUGCUUAGGCAUUGCAUAAAAGGAGGGUGAAACCCCACAGGAAUAUGGCCUUUCACUGCCUGCUUUGAUGAUGUGCAGCUUCUUAGUAACAAAGGCAGUGUAGCCUUCUGAAAAUACUCCAUCCAUGAUUAUGAAAAGGAGCAGGUCUCUGGCUGCCUAUUCCUUCUCCAGAGCACAUGAUGUCCUGACAUUUUCCGUGCACUUUCCCUGCCUUUUAUCUCUCAGAGGCAAUGAAUUGAACAUCCUGGGGUAUCAGUAAGAAGGAAACACUUCUAUGGAUCUGCACAUGUGUUUCCACAGCUGCCAUUGUGUUUUUCCCCUUUGCGGUGACAGAUUUCAGAGGUUUUGUUUCACACUUAUUCCCUCCUAUCCCCAGUGACAAACUGGACUUGUACCUCUGUUUAUUCACUGCAUUGAGAUCUCACCAUGUCUCUUAGUGAAAGGAACAAGAGCAAAUGCAUCUUUGAGGGUCUAUGAGUCUUCUGCAAAUUCCAUACAGUGAAGCAGACUGGCAGGUUUGGUCAUGACAGGGGCAGUGGUAAGAGAAAUUCUGUCUUUUGGCAGUUACUCUUCCAUUCUCAGUGGACUUUUCUUUCCUGGGCAAAAAUUUCUGGGUCAGUUUAUAAUGGAGGUGUGGACAAGCUGAUGCCUAAGAGCUUGUUUCUAAGCUCUUGUUCAGCUUGUACAUUUGCUGUUUCUAUGACUCAUCCAUAUCCCCAUGGAAGAAUGGGAUGUUGAGCUACCCCCAUAGUUAGGGAAACAACCCUGAGCAGCAUAAGCAUAGGAAUAGCUGCUGGCACAACCCCACAUUCUAGUUCAUUCUGCAUGUCACCUUUUUGAUUACAUCUUUAAGGCAAGCCUGCCUGAAUGCUUUAAUUCUACCCUUUCCCCAGAAAGUAAGUUCUUUUGACUUUAAAGUUAAUUAAACUAUAGCUAUAACUUAAUGCUUAAUAAAUUAAUGGUUUUCAAAAUGUUUUAAAGAAUUCUGAGUGAUUUGGUAACCUGAUGAGCUAUCAUAUAACAACUGGAAAAGAUCUCAGAUCUAAUAACAUCAAAAAUCCACAAAAGUUCAGCAUCAUAUUUUGUGGUUAUUGGAGAAAAGGAAGGAAGGUACAUUAUUGGCUUGAGUUUAGAUGGGGGGAUCUUGUGUCUCUGAAGGAAAAAAAAAUCACUCUGUAAACCAAAAAUAUCUCAGCAACUGCAACUUGUGUCGAGCUUAACCACAAUUCCAUGGUGGUUUUCAAGCUCUUUGAUGCACACAAGUUCAAUGAGCUCAUUGGUUUCUAAAAGUAUUAAAGGGAAUAAUUGUAAACGUGACCAGUCCCAGGAGGGCGACUGAGAAAGUGGUUGCUGGAGAUUCCUGAUGGAAAGAACAGAAAUUCCGGAAAUGGAUGAUGGUGCCCCCCCGACCCCAAGAGUGUUUAUAAAACAUGAAGAAGAGCCAGGCACUACUCAUUUAUUAAAAAAGUAACUCAUUUAAAAAUACUUAUUCUGUGCCUACUAUGAGCCAGGUGCUCUACUAGGUACCGAAUAAAUGACAAUGAGACAGACAUACCUGCUGCCCUCAAAGAUCUUAUUCUAGUAGAGGGAGACAAUUAAAUUAAUUAAGUAAUUUUAGGUAGCAAUAAUUGGUAGAACAUUAUGUAAUAGGGAUGUGGAAGAGACCAAAUGGGAAAGGUGAUUUUUAUUAAAGGCCUUAUAAUUCCAAGUAAUAAAUAUAGGUUUUCUUCUGAGAGACCAGUAUCAUUAUCUUAUUUACAAUUCACAAAGAUAACUGUGGCUGCUCUAUGGGAAAUCUGCCAAAGUUUAAUAAAUCUGUGGAAUAGCUAAUUACUGAUUGAUGGGAGACUGAGAGUCUCCCAUUCUUGAUGGCAAAUGGAUCUCUAGUUGCUCUGAAGUUCCAGGAAGUAAGCUAACUGGGAGCACAGAUGAUGUUUUCCUUUCUUCUGGUUGUCAGUAGUGUCUUUGGGAGAAAAAGACCAGUUACAGAAAUGCAGUUUAACAGCUCAGUUUAAUUUUCUGCAUAGUGCUUUCAGUGAUCAAAUAAGGGGUUCCAGGAAAGAGUGUCAAAAACUCUGCGUAUUUAGGAAUUUGCUUUUGACCCUGGCAGGAUAAAGGGGGCAACUGUGCAAAUGUGGCAGUAGUUAAUUGCAAGGUCUAGUGAAGAUUCUAAUAAUUAGCAUGGUGCCUAAUGCACGUAGGUGUUUGGUAAACAUUUGCUAGAUGGGUAAAGCCAGGAUUAUUAACCAAACACCGAAGUUUAUUGAAAGACAAGGUAGAAUUGGAAAUAAGUUCACAAACAUUGAGAAAGGCUAGGAAACUCCUCAAAUGAGACAGGUCCUGGUCUGAUAAUUAUGGCCCCCUUUGAUUCACUGGAAAUGUGUGUGUGUUUGUAUGUGUGUGCAUGCAUGCACAUGUGUAUGUUACUGGUAGAAGAAUUCUAGGUACCCAGGAGACCUGGACAGAAGUUAUUAGGCACAUAGGCCUCCCCACAAAGGCAGCAUGCCUAGAUUUGGAAAGCCAUCAGCACUAAUUGCUGUCUAAACAUGAGAGGUGUUACUUGACCUCGUGGUGCUCCAGUCUACCAAUGUAGUCCUUGUCUGGUAAUGUGGAAUCUCUGAUGUCAUUCUGGUCUGCAUUCCAUUGCAUUCUACCUAGAAGCACCAAAGCAGUCAACAGGAUCAAAGAAUAUAAGUGAGAGCGGAUAACAUGAAUGCCUUAAUCUCUGAGUUAUUGGAUUAUAAUAUUUGUGGUGUUCCGACAGGAGCUGAGCAGUCAGUGAGAAGUCCAGGGAUCUUUCUUUCCCUUCUCCAGACCAAAUCUGGCAGCAGAACCAAUUUCUUCUUCAAGUGGCAAGUGCCUCUCCAUGAAAGGGUGCUAUAAUCUUACAACUUCAUUUCCCAAAUUUCCUUGGUUGAAUGUAUGCGUCUCCUAUGUUAUUGUAAGGUGGAGAAUUGAAUGUUGAUUUCAUAAAUUUGAUAGGGACUUUUGAAAAAAACUGCCAUGCAAUUAAUUUUCUUCACUCAUUAUGUAUAUGACAGUGUCUCCGCUGGGCUCAGAUGACAAUGCGCAGAGUAGGAGAGAGGGCUGUUCUCCCUCUGACUCCACCUCAGAUUCCAAGGCUUGAGGGAAGGCACCAGAAUAAAACAACUCUCUGCAGACCGAUGUUUUCAUGUGAGACAUCAACUGCAGUGGUGGUGGCCAGGUGCUGCCUUUAAAUAGCUGUGGACAGAGGAUUUCCAGAAGGAAGGUGGAAUGGAAAAAAAUACAGACAGACUUGGUCCCAAUGACAUGGCACAGCAACCCUAGAAGAGGGAGAAAUUUGAGGACUGCAAGUGGAAAAGCAGGGCUGAAUGUGAAGAGGGGUUACAGAGAGCGGGGAAACAGGAAGAUGAAUGAGGAGGCCAGAAACCAGUGGGGGGUUGCACAGAAGUUCAGACAAACUAGUGCAAGAAGGACAGGGCUGAGAUCUUGGAUGCCUAGUGGUCCACAAGGCCUGAUUUUAUAAUAUCUGAGGUUGCUGAGUGUUAUGCUGAGGUCUUAGGGCACAUGGUAGGCAAGAAUUCCAUGAUAAGCUUAUUGUAUGGAGUUUUAUAGCUGAUAGGGACCCUAGUGAAAAGGAACAUAACAAAUGAGGAAACUAUGGUAUACAGCUUCAGUAUGAGCCCAGGUGCCCAGGUCAGAACCGUUCCAUUUCCCCCCAAAGUCCUCAAAUGCUUUGGUUCCAAGUGACCAUUGCACUGUGGAGAAUCUUAGUAUGGAAAGUAGCUUGGCCUCUCAGACAUGCAUGAGCACACAUCUCAGAACCUUCAUUUUAAAAAUAACUUUAUUUUACUGUGGUAAGAACACUGAACUUGAGAGCUACCCUGCUAAGAAAAUGUUAAGUAUAUAAUACAGUGUUACUAACCAUGUAUAUAUAUAUAUAUAUAUAUAUAUAUAUACACACACACACACACACACACACACACACACAAUGUUGUACUGCAGAUCUCUAGAACUUAUUCAUGUUGCAUAACUACAAAUUUAUGCCCCUUGAUUAGAAACUCAUUUCCCUCUCCCACAUAGCUCCUGGCAACCACAAUUUCUCUCUUUGAUUUUAUGAAUUUGACUAUUUUAGAACUUUCUUUUUGUGUCAAAAUUAAAAUUAUGUUAGUCCAUUUUCAUGCUGCUGAUAAAGAUAUCCCAGAGACUGGGUAAUUUAUAGAGAAAAAGAGGUUUAAUGGACUCACAGUUCCAUGUGGCUCGGGAGGCCUCACAAUCAUGGUGGAAGGUGAAAGGCAUGUCUUACAUGGCAGCAGACAAGAAAGAAUGGGAACCAAGGGAAAGGGGAAACCCCUUAUAAAACCAUCAGAUCUCGUGAGACUUAUUUACUACCAUGAGAACAGUAUGGGGGAAACCACCCCUAUGAUUCCAUUAUUUCCCAGCAAGUCCUUUCCACAACAUGUGGGAAUUAUGGGAGCUGUAAUUCAAGAUGAGAUUUGGGUGGGGACACAGCCAAACUGUAUCAAAUUGCCUUAUAGGAAAAGAAUAUCAGGAAUUAGGAUUAUUGACAUCAAUAGGCCCCAAGGCAACCUUCUGGAGGGCCAUAGAAUAAUAAGGAAUUAGAUAGUGGCUAUAUCCUUUUCUUGUCAGCAGUGUGUAUUUACACGAUCUUGGCAUUGCGUAACUGUGUUUUUCUUUUUAAACAAAAUAAAAAUAUCAGAGGAGUUCUGCAGUAAAUAGAAAAUUGUCUUAAAUGACAUAAAAAUUAAGAACAUUUAACAAAAUCUUCACAACAGAGGGAAGGCAAGCAACAGACCUUCUACAGUCAGUGGCUCAGUGUUAAUGACACUGAAGUUAGGGUGUCUUCCCUGUCAGUCUGAUUUCUUCAUGGUGGCAAAAUGGCUGCAGUAGGGCCAGAUGUCACAUCCAGAAUUCUUUUCCAGUGUGUCUCUUUAUAGGAGUUAGAAAAAUCUUGCUCAGACACUUUGCCCAAUCAAAAAUACUAGUCAGCUAUUGCCACAAUAAUGCUGAGUUAUAAAAUAUCCCCAAAUUUGUCCCUUAUAGAAAAAGCAUAUAUUCUCAAGCUCAUAAGUCUGGGUUGACUGUGCUUUGGCUGUUGUAGGCUGAGAAGCUGUGCCUUAGUCUUCAGGGGCUUCUGGGAAUAGCUACAGACUGCAGGUUGGGUUCAAGUCAGCUUCAGGUGUGUUUGUUCUGGUGCAUGGGCUCUUGGGCAGCAAUUACUGUAGACAUCUCUUUUGAUGGGGAAUCAAUAGAGAGCAAGAGCAAGUCAUAUUAAGUCCUGUGACCCCCUAACCCCCAUUUCCUAACAUCCCAUUGGCCAAAACAAGUUACAUGGCCAAACCAAACACAAGUUAGGUAGAGAAGUAAACUCCACUCACAGUGGGAAGAGGAGGGCGGUGAAUGUUUAUUGAACAAUAAUUCAUCUGUUACUCUCUCUUCUCCAGCAUGACCUGUAGGCAACCUAGUGGUAAUUGCUAGGCACAGCACUCCAUUAAUAGCAUUCAUUAAUUAUGACAGGGACUCAAAAGAAAUAGAAGCACAGGCACAGAACCUCAGUGUUAGCUGGUGUUCAUUACCUAACUCACGGAAGGACAGGAAAUGUUCAGAAGUGGAAAUCCUCAGGGUCUGCUUGAUUCCUGUUCUAGUUCCCCACUGAUCUGGCUGCAGUCCCAAGACUCUGUCUCUAUCUCCAUAUCUUCUCUGGCCUUCUUUUCUCUUGGGCUCCAUUCCUCUGUCACUUUCCACCUUCCUUUUGGGUCCUUGUGUGCCCUUGACUCUAGAGUGAUGACCAAAGGAGUGAUCCUGGGAGGAAAAGGUGCCAGGGAGAUAUGUGUAAUACUUGUAGUUAAUGAUAGCUAACAUUCUCAGUGCUUUUUAAAUGCCAAGAACAGUGCUAAUGGUUUUAUCUGUAUUACCUGUCAUUCUCACAAUGACCUAGUGAGGUGGCUGCUAUUACAACUCCCAUUUUCCAUAGGAGGACAUUGAGGUUCAAAAAUGUGAAAGUGUUCAAGUUUACAAAACUAGCAAGAGGCAGAAUUGGGAUCAAAACCCAGGUGCAUCUGACUCCAAAGUUAUUCCCUUAACUACUAUGCAAUUUUUCCUAUUAAGGAUUUAUAAUUAAAAAGCACAUUAAAAUAGAAUCAUUGGAGAUAGGAAAAAUAAUUUUUUUCCUGUAUUGAAAAUCAAUUAUAAAGUUUUGUGGUAUCAUAUCCCUUUAUCCCCAAUAUGGAUCUAGCAGAAGCCUGUAAGUGAAAAUAACAAUGUCAAAAGUAUUAUUUUUAUGGAGUUGUUAAUUGUUUUAUAGAGCAAACUCAUAAAAGUCACAGGCCACAAAACAUAAUUACAAACUGCACUCGACAUCAAUUACAGGAAAUAUUGAUUUCUUUAACUCACAUCUUAUCCAGAGCUAUAAAUUAUGGGAAAUAGGGGAAUGUGUGUACAACUCCUGUCUGGAUGUCUAAUCAUAUACCACUUCCAAAUGCGUUCAUUAUUGGGGUAGUGUUGAGGAUGGACUACACUACAUUACAUGACCCUUUCUUUAUAAGGAUUCAUGGGAAUAUGUUUUUUUUUUCUUUCAGAUCUCAUUCCUUGAAAUAUUGUACAUCUCUUACUUGUUUUUGUCUUACACGAUCUAUGAUUCCUGUAACCUUUGUUUUCUUAAAGUGUCUUUCAGGGAUCCAUGGUGGGUCCCUGAGACAAGUUCAGGGAGUCUUGGAGGUAAAAUCUAUGUUCCUAAUAUGAGAGCUAUUCGGCUUUUGCAUUCCCAUUAUCUUGUGAGUGUAUGGUGGAGUUUUCUGGAAGCUGCUGAAUAUGUGGUAUCACAACACGUUGAAUGCAGAAGCAGACACAAGAAUACAGUUGUUUUCUGUUUAGCCAGAUAUUAACAAGAUUUGCAAAAAUGUGAAACAAUGACAAUCUUCUAAUGUUUUUGGGGGGAGAAAUCUAGUUAUUUUCCAUAAAAUGUUAUUUAUAUUAACAUGUAAUAGGUCUAUUGCUAUUUUCAAGAUCAAUUCAUAACUAUUUUUAAAAUUUCUCAGUUUUGAUUGCUAAUAAGAUAAAUGUCAGUAGAUAUAACCCACAUAAACAGCUCUUUGAGGCCCUCAAUAAGUUUUAAAAAUGUAAAUAGAUCCCGAGGCCAAAAAGUUUGAGAACUAUUGCUGUAACCAACUGUGUUUUUUUUUCCUUUGUUUUGGAAGCUAGAAAGCCCAGACCAGAUUUGUAGUCCACCUCCAGCAUUUGUCUAAGAUCCCAAGACAUAGAAUUUAUGGACUAAUAUUUCCCCAUGCAGUCUUUUGUUUUUAACCCUUAUUUUUCUUUCUAAAUGAUUUUAUAUUCUAUUUUUAAAGCUUCUCUGUUUUAUUUUAAAAUGCUUUAUCAUAAGAUUCAUGUAAGUUAUUAUGGGUCACUGGAAAUUAAACAGUUGGUAGAAAGAAUGGGUUGCCCUCUUGGAGCGUGGUAUAGAAAUGCAAUAUUAAAGAUUUUCAAAUAAAUGUGCUCUUAAAUUCAAAUGCUGCUUCUUACAGAGUGCAGGCGGCAUCUUCUUGGUUAUUGUUGAAACCAUUGCCACUAUAUCUAAAUGAAUGGUACUUUCGUCCUGGAGUCUCUUCAAUCUCUAUUCUCUAAAUUAUGCAUAUCCUUUUAGGUACAGCCUCUCCCACUCACUCUGCCCGUUUCUCCUCCCUGAGCCUAGUAGAGUUUUUUUUUCCUUUUCUUUUCUUCUACUUUGCAUUUAUGUUCUCUAUGACCUAUUCUUAAAACAUAUUUUCUAAUGCAUUUCUUGAGUUCAGAAUAAAAGGCUGGUACUUUCAGCGUUACUUCAUCUUCAUUAUUAGCCUCUUACAACUCUCUCUGAUUUAAGGUUAUUGUAUGAUACUUGAGCUCUCUGCUAAUGUACAUUACAUUGGCACUGUAAUCAGUGCACAUUUCAAGGGCUUCAGUCAACAGUAGUACCCGAAGCUUUGAAUUCAAAAAAUGUAUAAAAUUAUUUUUGCAAAUUUGUAUCUAAAUAGAGAAGGGGAUUAGAUUGGUCUAAAGCAUGCAAUAAGGCAUACCUUUCAACUUUUCAUUGUAUAUAAUGUACAGAUGAUUAAUUUUUUUUGAGCUUUAGUUGAUCAACUAUUGUUGUAGUUUUGAUAAACACUCUAAUAUUUUCUUUCUGGUUGAACUUGAGAAUAACUUAUGUCUCUCUCUCAUAGCUGAACUCAGUCGUAAACCUGUGAUGGGGAAAAUAAAACUAUGGUAAUGUUUGAUCAUUGUGGCAUUAUCUCCAACGAAUGGGUAGUUUCUUUUGGUAAAGCUUUCUGAUAUCUUUGUAUGGGUUAGGGGUUAGUUAGAGUUGAAUUCAGGAGAGCUGAGAAUGAGAUCAAAUAAAUUAUCCUGAGGAUAUCCAUUAAAUUGAAAACUCUCUUGUUUUCUAAAUGACGAGUUUCUCUCAUUUAUCUAAACGUGUCUUGAUGGCACAUAGAUGAUAUGGUGGCUAUUUUUUUUUAACCACAAAACUCAGUGACAUGGACCACCCACAGUAAAUUCAGAGUAGAGGCCUCUCAUGAGGACAUAUUUGUACAGACAUAAUAAGUCAUAAUGUGAUGAAAAGUAAAGUCAAAGUUCUCUCACAAACAAUAAAUAACUGCAUUAUUUUAAGUUUCCUAACUACAGCUAUUAAGCAGUUCUUAGAAAAUGAUUUCUUGACUUACUACUUACAAAAUCUGUUGGAGAAGAGCUUUCUACCAGGGUAUUCUUACGGAAUGGAGGAAAAAAAUAAAAAACCAAAAAGUGUCAGCCUGGUCCCUAAGGUCUUCCAUAAUCUGCUCUUGCACUUAUAUCCCUAACUUUCUUUCUUCCUUUCCGUUUCCUUUUUCUUCUUCUUCUUUUUUUUUGACAGAGUCUUGCUCUGCUGCCCAGGAUGGAGUACAGGGCACAAUGUCAGCUCACCACAACUCCUACGUCCCGGGUUCAAGUGAUUCUCCUGCCUCAGCCUCCCAAGUAGCUGGGACUACAGGCGCCUGCCAUCAUGCCCAGCUAAUUUUUGUAUUUUUAGUAGAGAUGGGGUAUCACCAUGUUGGCCAGGCUAGUCUCGAACUCCUGACCUCAAGUGAUCCACCCACCUUGGCCUCCCAAAGUGCUGGGAUUACAGGCGUGAGCCACCAUGCCUGCACUCACAAGGUUGUGCAGCCAUCACUUCUGUCUUGUUUCAAAACAUUUUCAUCAUCGCCAAAGACGACCCCAUGCCAUUUUGUAGUCACUGUGCCUCAUUCUCUCCUCUCUCCAGUCCCUAUUUACUACCCAUCUGCUUUCUGUCUCUAUGAAUUUUACCUAUUCUGGAUAUUUAAUGAAAAUGAAAUUGUGUAAUAUGUGACUUUGUGUAUGGCUUCUUUCACUUAUCAUAAUGCCUUUGAGGUUCAACCAUACCAUGACAUGUGUCAGCAUGUCAUUCCUUUGACAUCUGUCCAUUUUAUCUCAUUUAUUUUAGAUUCCUUUAUUAGGUGCAUGCACAUUUAAGAUUGCUAUGUCUUCCUUAUGAAUAGAUCCUUUUAUUAUUAAAAAUAAUCCUGCUUUUUCUCAUAAUGCUUCUUAUCAAGUACUUCUUUUAAACUGUGUCUCUUGUAGAGAGAGGAGAGUAGAGUUUUUAAUGGUUACUUUACAUAGAUGGGAUAGACUCCCCACUGCCAUUCCUAUUAGGUUUUCAUGUCAAGACUCACAAUGCCACACAUGCACCAAGAGGGUGUGUGAAAAGGUUUAUAACCACAUGAUGAGGCUUUCUGGGGAGGGCAGGGCUGGCACCCAAACUAGCAAAACAAAUGGCUUGAGAAUUAGGGAAAAAAAAAAAAGACUGCCUUGACUUUUAUUGUGAUUAGAAGGUGAAGCUGGGAUGAAGGUUCCUGUGCAUGAACUGGGGACUGUAUGGUUUGAACUUUUCACCAGUGCCAAAGGAAGGAGCACUUGGCUUUCUUAUCAGCUUGCCCAGAUGUGGGUUAGGAGGGGAAUGAAAAGUGGCAGAGCUUGAAAGCUGCCAGCAGUCAAACAUAAAAUAUGGUGUCAGACUCUUUAUUACAUAAAUAUUACCUUUUAAUAAAUUCAGCAUGACAGUCUUUGGCCUUUAAUUUAAAUAUUUCAUUCACUUACCCUUGAUUUUAGCAUUUCCUUUUGAUUCUUUCUUAGAGUUUCCAUUGUUCUGUUUACAUUAGCCAUCUAUUCUUGCAUGCUGUUUACUCCUUCCAGUAAAGCCCUUAGAAUAUUACAAGCAUACCUCAAAGAUAUUGAGGGUUUAGUUCCA